AACCACGUUAUGAAAAUUACAAUCGUAUCGACUGAAAUGUGAAGAAGGUUUUUUCACAGUGGUGGCCACUAGCAGAGUGA